rnacentral:rRNA from 1 species
UACGUAGGCAGCGAGCGUUGUUCGGAGUUACUGGGCGUAAAGGGUGUGUAGGCGGCCUAUUAAGUUUGGUGUGAAAUCUCCAGGCUCAACCUGGAGGGGUCAUUCGAUACUGCCGUGACUAGAGUUCGGUAGAGGAGUGUGGAAUUCCUGGUGGAGCGGUGAAAUGCGCAGAGAUCAGGAGGAACACCCGUAGCGAAGGCGGCACUCUGGGCCGAUACUGACACUGAGGAGCGAAAGCGUGGGGAGCGAACAGG